UACGUAGGGUGCGAGCGUUGUCCGGAAUUAUUGGGCGUAAAGAGCUUGUAGGCGGUUUGUCGCGUCUGCUGUGAAAAUCCGGGGCUCAACCCCGGACUUGCAGUGGGUACGGGGCAGACUAGAGUGUGGUAGGGGAGACUGGAAUUCCUGGUGUAGCGGUGAAAUGCGCAGAUAUCAGGAGGAACACCGAUGGCGAAGGUAGGUCUCUGGGCCACUACUGACGCUGAGAAGCGAAAGCAUGGGGAGCGAACAGG
rnacentral:rRNA from 1 species